rfam:Brachyspira sp. CAG:484 genomic scaffold, scf92
UUUUUAUAAGAGGAAAUUGAUGUGCAACUCAUCAGCUGUGCCGCAACCGUAAAAGCCGGAACACUCAGAAAAA